rnacentral:rRNA from 1 species
AGAGUUUGAUCCUGGCUCAGGACGAACGCUGGCGGCGUGCCUAACACAUGCAAGUCGAGGGUUUGAUUUAUCAAGCACUGGCAUCCGGGUGAGUAACGCGUAGGUCAUCUGCCCCUAUCACAGACAUAACAGUUCUAACGGACUGCUAAUAUCUGAUGAGGCGAGCAAUCGUCAAAGCUUUGGCGGAUAGGGAUGAGCCUGCGUCUGAUUAGGUAGUUGGUGAGGUAAUGGCUCACCAAGCCUUCGAUCAGUAGCUGGUCUGAGAGGACGAACAGCCACACUGGAACUGAGACACGGUCCAGACUCCUACGGGAGGCAGCAGUGAGGAAUAUUGGUCAAUGGGCGCAAGCCUGAACCAGCGACGCCGCGUGCGGGAUGAAGGGGCUUUGCCUCGUAAACCGCUGUCGGAUGGGACGAAAGGUGGCUUUAAGCCACUGGGACGGUACCAUCAAAGGAAGGAUCGGCUAACUACGUGCCAGCAGCCGCGGUAAUACGUAGGAUCCGAGCGUUGUCCGGAGUUACUGGGUGUAAAGGGUGCGUAGGCUGUUCUGUGCGUCAGAGGUGAAAUCCACGGGCUUAACUCGUGGGGUGCCUUUGAUACGGCAGGGCUUGAGUACGAGAGAGGUGCGUGGAAUUCCUGGUGUAGCAGUGAAAUGCGUAGAUAUCAGGAGGAACACCGGUGGCGAAGGCGGCGCACUGGCUCGUAACUGACGCUGAGGCACGAAAGCGUGGGGAUCAAACAGGAUUAGAUACCCUGGUAGUCCACGCCUUAAACGAUGCAUGCUUGGUGUUGGUCUCCAAAAGAGAUCAGUGCCGUAGUUAACAUGAUAAGCAUGCCACCUGGGGAGUACGAUCGCAAGGUUGAAACUCAAAGGAAUUGACGGGGGCCCGCACAAGCGGUGGAUCAUGU